rnacentral:rRNA from 1 species
GACGAACGCUGGCGGCGUGCUUAACACAUGCAAGUCGAACGGAAAGGCCCUGCUUUUGUGGGGUGCUCGAGUGGCGAACGGGUGAGUAACACGUGAGUAACCUGCCCUUGACUUUGGGAUAACUUCAGGAAACUGGGGCUAAUACCGGAUAGGAGCUCCUGCUGCAUGGUGGGGGUUGGAAAGUUUCGGCGGUUGGGGAUGGACUCGCGGCUUAUCAGCUUGUUGGUGGGGUAGUGGCUUACCAAGGCUUUGACGGGUAGCCGGCCUGAGAGGGUGACCGGCCACAUGGGGACUGAGUUACGGCCAGACUCCUACGGGAGGCAGCAGUGGGGAAUAUUGCACAAUGGGCGGAAGCCUGAUGCAGCAACGCCGCGUGCGGGAUGACGGCCUUCGGGUUGUAAACCGCUUUCGCCUGUGACGAAGCGUGAGUGACGGUAAUGGGUAAAGAAGCACCGGCUAACUACGUG